GAUGAACGCUGGCGGCGUGCCUAAUACAUGCAAGUCGAGCGAACAGACGAGAGUGCUUGCACUCUCUGACGUUAGCGGCGGACGGGUGGGUAACACGUGGGUAACCUACCUAUAAGACUGGGAUAACUUCGGGAAACCGGAGCUAAUACCGGAUAAUAUUUAGCUUCGCAUGAAGCAAUAGUGAAAGACGGUUCUGCUGUCACUUAUAGAUGGACCCGCGGUGUAUUAGCUAGUUGGUGAGGUAACGGCUCACCAAGGCAACGAUACAUAGCCGACCUGAGAGGGUGAUCGGCCACACUGGGACUGAGACACGGCCCAGACUCCUACGGGAGGCAGCAGUAGGGAGUCUUCCGCAAUGGACGAAAGUCUGACGGAGCAAUGCCGCGUGAGUGAAGAAGGUUUUCGGAUCGUAAAACUCUGUUGUAAGGGAAGAACAAGUACGUUAGUAACUGAACGUACCUUGACGGUACCUUACCAGAAAGCCACGGCUAACUACGUG
rnacentral:rRNA from 1 species